CGACUGUUAGGCGCCUGUGUCCCUUCAUUUCUUGGCUGAUGUGCCAUGACCCUAUCAAGAGUGCUUGCGUGCUGCUACCAGUCAUACUGGAAGUUGCAUUCACUACAAGUUGUGUUUGCCGUGCAUGCCCUAGGGCUUUGCACGUCGACUUGAAAGCGUUCACGGCGUUGCCUCGUGUAGCUAGCUGUCUGGGCUGCUAUUACCAAGGACACCUUGUGGACGCUAUUGGUCUCGGAUGCGGCAUACGAAAAAGGCCGAUGGUGCUUUGGCGCCCCGUGCCUAGAAAAAGAUUGUCCAAUCGGAAAAAACGACAGCCGGCCUAGCUGAUGCCUUGUGCAGAGGCUUGUGCUAGCUCGUCGAUUGAGGACGUGCUACCUGGUUGAUCCUGCCAGNNG
rnacentral:misc_RNA from 1 species